UCAGUCAGCUCUUUGCUAUUCUUUCUAGAUCAUGGUCUUGCAGCCUUGAGAUCAGGAGCACCUUCAUACUGACAGAGGAACUGAGGCUCCAUGAGGCUCCUGACUUGCUGGAAAUCCAAGGCCAAGGAAGACAGCAGGUCCCAGGGACAGGCAGCCAGCCUCCUGAGGCCAAUGUAGGGUCUCCUGUAGUUCAGAUUGUCCUCCAAUUCUAUGGCUGUGGAUGACCUGGAGCUCCUGAUCCUCCUGCCUCCACAUCCUGAGUGCUGGGGUCACAGGUGUGUCUCACCUGUGAUUUUGGGGAUGGAAGCCAGGCUUUUUACCUGCUAAGCAAGAACUCCGGCCAUGGAGCCGGCAUCUGCCACCGGCAUUUUCACUGUACGGCGGGUGUGCGGCAGUCAUCUCCAUCUUUGUCACUUCAACUACUGUUGUCCCCAAUCUUCAGCGUUAUGGUUAUUCCUGAGCACCCCCCCUUCCUCCACCUCAUUCAGGCCCAGUGUGUUGUGGACAAGCCUAAAAGCCAAUGUUAUGAGCUGGAUAAGAUCAAUGUCAUCCCUGUCUGAUCAAUUCACGGUGCAUUCAGCUGAGCCAUGUCAGAAGAAGAGGCCACCAGAAUGAAUAACUUCCCUGGCAUGUGCCUAUCUGGUCUAUCCUGUCCCCUAAAUGCCUGGUCUCUCAUUGGCCUGGAGCAGGCAGAUUAGGCCAUGGAUCCCCAG